rnacentral:rRNA from 1 species
UACGUAGGGACCAAGCGUUGUUCGGAUUUACUGGGCGUAAAGGGCGCGUAGGCGGCAAUUCAAGUCAUCUGUGAAAUCUCCGGGCUUAACUCGGAACGGUCAGAUGAUACUGCUUUGCUAGAGUGCGGAAGGGGCAAUCGGAAUUCUUGGUGUAGCGGUGAAAUGCGUAGAUAUCAAGAGGAACACCUGAGGUGAAGACGGGUUGCUGGGCCGACACUGACGUGGAAGCGCGAAAGCCAGGGGAGCAAACGGG